GGAGGGAUGGCCGAGUGGUUGAAGGCGGCGGUCUUGAAAACCGCUGUGCCGAAAGGUACCGUGGGUUCGAAUCCUACUCCCUCCG
rnacentral:tRNA from 1 species